CUCAAAUCAGCCGAACAAGAAAGCAUACGAAUAAUCCACACUCCAAACAGCCGACAGGAAAACCAUAUGAAUAAUCCCCCCAAGUACGAGAUGAGGCUCUGUAUUGAGGGUCAAGCAGGAAUCUGUUUAAUCUGGGCUACCUGCCUGCCUUUUAUGCAGGUCUCCCACCUGGUGGACACUCCCCUAGGGGACCUGGUGGAAAACUG